rnacentral:lncRNA from 1 species
GUUGGCUUAAUCAUUCACGCUGGUGACAGGAUGGGUGCAGCAAUGACUCAUCCAGGGAAGAAAGCAGUCUUUCUAUGGCUUUCUCUUAUCACCCAGGAAACCUGUCCCUGAAGGCUCAGAUCUCCUUGGCCAUAAUUGGGUCCCAAGUCAGCUCAGGAAGGAGAUCCCUGGCUGUGGGCUUCUCUUCUGGAACAUGGGACUCCUUCUACUCAUUGCCUUCUUAUUGCCGCUGAGAAUCCUCCCUGACUCCAAGGCUUGGCUGGGGCCACUCUUCCCGACACACCUGCGCCUGUCCUGGAAGUGUUCGUCACAUCUCAUUGGGUAACCUCUUUCCUUCUUGGUUUUCAGGACUAGAGUUAACCUUGAGUUCAGUGACCCAGCUUGGUCUUUGAUGUAUUACCCAGUGACUGGGGCAGCACAGAC